AUACGGAGGAUGCAAGCGUUAUCCGGAUUUAUUGGGUUUAAAGGGUGCGUAGGCGGAUGAUUAAGCGUGAGGUGAAAUGCCACUGCUCAACAGUGGUACUGCCUCGCGAACUGGUUGUCUUGAAUGCUCCUGCCGUGGGAGGAAUGUGUGGUGUAGCGGUGAAAUGCAUAGAGAUCACACAGAACACCGAUUGCGAAGGCAUCUCACGAAGGGGUGAUUGACGCUGAGGCACGAAAGCGUGGGGAUCAAACAGGAUUAGAUACCCUGGUAGUCCACGCAGUAAACGAUGAUAACUAACCGCUGGGUCGUAGUGAUUCAGUGGCCAAGCGAAAGCGAUAAGUUAUCCACCUGGGGAGUACGACCGCAAGGUUGAAACUCAAAUGAAUUGACGGGG
rnacentral:rRNA from 1 species